AGGAGUAUGCAAUAAUAACUUAUGAAAUGCCGUAAUAUUCCUCCUAAAUAUUAGGAACUUAAGUUGCGGACUACCAUUUCACAAGACGCUACUUCU
rnacentral:ncRNA from 1 species